UUGUGUUUGAACUAAAGCUUGGUGUAAGAAUGAUAAAGAGUGAUUUGAUAAAGUUCUUGAUGACCACAAUUUGACUUAAAAGAUAUUUGAACUAAUACUUUGGCUUGUUAAAGUGAUUGAUUGAUUAAUGUCUUAUGGAGAUCUUGUGGCCAUGUAUGAUGAAUUGUGGCCUUGAUGUCAUUGAAUGGUUAAAUAGGUUACAGUCCCCAAAUGUGAAUGGUGUAAUAUGAAU
rnacentral:lncRNA from 1 species